GGGGAAUUUUGGACAAUGGGGGCAACCCUGAUCCAGCCAUGCCGCGUGAGUGAAGAAGGCCUUCGGGUUGUAAAGCUCUUUCAGACGGAAAGAAAUCGCAUCCUCUAAUACGGGGUGUGGAUGACGGUACCGUAAGAAGAAGCACCGGCUAACUACGUGCCAGCAGCCGCGGUAAUACGUAGGGUGCGAGCGUUAAUCGGAAUUACUGGGCGUAAAGCGUGCGCAGGCGGUGAUGUAAGACCGGUGUGAAAUCCCCGGGCUCAACCUGGGAACUGCGUUUGUGACUGCAUCACUCGAGUACGGCAGAGGGAGGUGGAAUUCCACGUGUAGCAGUGAAAUGCGUAGAGAUGUGGAGGAACACCGAUGGCGAAGGCAGCCUCCUGGGCCAGUACUGACGCUCAUGCACGAAAGCGUGGGGAGCAAAC
rnacentral:rRNA from 1 species